rnacentral:rRNA from 1 species
CAGGCUUAACACAUGCAAGUCGAGGGGCAGCAUGGUCUUAGCUUGCUAAGGCCGAUGGCGACCGGCGCACGGGUGAGUAACACGUAUCCAACCUGCCGUCUACUCUUGGACAGCCUUCUGAAAGGAAGAUUAAUACAAGAUGGCAUCAUGAGUCCGCAUGUUCACAUGAUUAAAGGUAUUCCGGUAGACGAUGGGGAUGCGUUCCAUUAGAUAGUAGGCGGGGUAACGGCCCACCUAGUCUUCGAUGGAUAGGGGUUCUGAGAGGAAGGUCCCCCACAUUGGAACUGAGACACGGUCCAAACUCCUACGGGAGGCAGCAGUGAGGAAUAUUGGUCAAUGGGCGAGAGCCUGAACCAGCCAAGUAGCGUGAAGGAUGACUGCCCUAUGGGUUGUAAACUUCUUUUAUAAAGGAAUAAAGUCGGGUAUGGAUACCCGUUUGCAUGUACUUUAUGAAUAAGGAUCGGCUAACUCCGUGCCAGCAGCCGCGGUAAUACGGAGGAUCCGAGCGUUAUCCGGAUUUAUUGGGUUUAAAGGGAGCGUAGAUGGAUGUUUAAGUCAGUUGUGAAAGUUUGCGGCUCAACCGUAAAAUUGCAGUUGAUACUGGAUAUCUUGAGUGCAGUUGAGGCAGGCGGAAUUCGUGGUGUAGCGGUGAAAUGCUUAGAUAUCACGAAGAACUCCGAUUGCGAAGGCAGCCUGCUAAGCUGCAACUGACAUUGAGGCUCGAAAGUGUGGGUAUCAAACAGGAUUAGAUACCCUGGUAGUCCACACGGUAAACGAUGAAUACUCGCUGUUUGCGAUAUACUGCAAGCGGCCAAGCGAAAGCGUUAAGUAUUCCACCUGGGGAGUACGCCGGCAACGAUGAAACUCAAAGGAAUUGACGGGGGCCCGCACAAGCGGAGGAACAUGUGGUUUAAUUCGAUGAUACGCGAGGAACCUUACCCGGGCUUAAAUUGCAGAUGAAUUACGGUGAAAGCCGUAAGCCGCAAGGCAUCUGUGAAGGUGCUGCAUGGUUGUCGUCAGCUCGUGCCGUGAGGUGUCGGCUUAAGUGCCAUAACGAGCGCAACCCUUGUUGUCAGUUACUAACAGGUUCCGCUGAGGACUCUGACAAGACUGCCAUCGUAAGAUGUGAGGAAGGUGGGGAUGACGUCAAAUCAGCACGGCCCUUACGUCCGGGGCUACACACGUGUUACAAUGGGGGGUACAGAGGGCCGCUACCACGCGAGUGGAUGCCAAUCCCCAAAACCUCUCUCAGUUCGGACUGGAGUCUGCAACCCGACUCCACGAAGCUGGAUUCGCUAGUAAUCGCGCAUCAGCCACGGCGCGGUGAAUACGUUCCCGGGCCUUGUACACACCGCCCGUCAAGCCAUGGGAGCCGGGGGUACCUGAAGUGCGUAACCGCGAGGAGCGCCCUAGGGUAAAACUGGUGACUGGGGCU